UACGGGGGGUGCGAGCGUUGUCCGGAAUCACUGGGCGUAAAGGGCGCGUAGGUGGUUUGAUAAGGGUGUGGUGAAAGCCCGGGGCUCAACCCCGGGUCUGCCGUGCCGACUGUCAAACUCGAGGGCUGUAGAGGCAGACGGAAUUCCGGGUGUAGUGGUGGAAUGCGUAGAGAUCCGGAGGAACACCAGCGGCGAAGGCGGCAUCCUGGACUGGUCCUGACGCUCAGGAGCGAAAGCGUGGGGAGCGAUCCGG
rnacentral:rRNA from 1 species